CCGGGCGGUCCGGGGGGGACCCCCACGGCUCCUCUCUGCCACUGAAAGACUCUACUGAGACAAAGAUGGGCU
rnacentral:tRNA from 1 species